UACAGAGGUCUCAAGCGUUGUUCGGAAUCACUGGGCGUAAAGGGCGCGUAGGCGGCGCGAUAAGUCAGGCGUGAAAGCCCCGGGCUCAACCCGGGAAUUGCGCUUGAUACUGUCGUGCUUGAGGCCGGGAGAGGAUGGCGGAAUUCCCAGUGUAGAGGUGAAAUUCGUAGAUAUUGGGAAGAACACCGGUGGCGAAGGCGGCCAUCUGGGACCGGUUCUGACGCUGAGGCGCGAAAGCGUGGGGAGCGAACCGG
rnacentral:rRNA from 1 species